UUGCAAGUCGAGCGGACAGAUGGGAGCUUGCUCCCUGAUGUUAGCGGCGGACGCCGUGAGUAACACGUGGGUAACCUGCCUGUAAGACUGGGAUAACUCCGGGAAACCGGGGCUAAUACCGGAUGGUUGUUUGAACCGCAUGGUUCAGACAUAAAAGGUGGCUUCGGCUACCACUUACAGAUGGACCCGCGGCGCAUUAGCUAGUUGGUGAGGUAACGGCUCACCAAGGCAACGAUGCGUAGCCGACCUGAGAGGGUGAUCGGCCACACUGGGACUGAGACACGGCCCAGACUCCUACGGGAGGCAGCAGUAGGGAAUCUUCCGCAAUGGACGAAAGUCUGACGGAGCAACGCCGCGUGAGUGAUGAAGGUUUUCGGAUCGUAAAGCUCUGUUGUUAGGGAAGAACAAGUGCCGUUCAAAUAGGGCGGCACCUUGACGGUACCUAACCAGAAAGCCACGGCUAACUACGUGCCAGCAGCCGCGGUAAUACGUAGGUGGCAAGCGUUGUCCGGAAUUAGUGGGCGUAAGGGGCUCGCAGGCGGUUUCUUAAGUCUGAUGUGAAGG
rnacentral:rRNA from 1 species